UACGUAGGGUGCAAGCGUUAAUCGGAAUUACUGGGCGUAAAGCGUGCGCAGGCGGUUGUGCAAGACCGAUGUGAAAUCCCCCGGGCUUAACCUGGGAAUGGCAUUGGUGACUGUACGGCUAGAGUGUGUCAGAGGGGGGGUAGAAUUCCACGUGUAGCAGUGAAAUGCGUAGAGAUGUGGAGGAAUACCGAUGGCGAAGGCAGCCCCCUGGGAUAACACUGACGCUCAUGCACGAAAGCGUGGGGAGCAAACAGG
rnacentral:rRNA from 1 species